GCGGCGGGGAGGCGGUGUAGCUGCCGGUGCGAUGCUCGUCGCUCUGGAUGCGAUCCUGUCGCAGAGCGGGAGGGUUGGGUUUCCCCGCCGCCAACGACCUCCUCUCUGCCUGCCGUGCGUUCGAUGACGGGGACAUCCGGACAUGCCCAUACCAUGGCGGCGUCGCCGCCACCCUAACCUUACUUCUCCUGGUAGUUCCUCUCCUGGCGUACUCUGCAUUUCCCUUAUCUCACCUGCGUUUUGCUCUCACCCAGUUUAAUGUCUAGCUAAAUUCCUAUGCGAUGUGAUAGGGAGACAUUCCUGAUACUUUCCCCUUCUGUGAUGAGUUGUGAUUUAAUCCGUUUGAGGCUCGGCUAUCGAGCUCAUGUGAUGUGGGUUGAAUUCCUACUGAGAAGUGAAUGUCGACACAAAUUUCAUUUACCAUUAUUAGGUCACUGAUUGAUUUUAUAUACACCUUCAAAAAUUUAUGCUUAUAAGGCUCGUGACAGUACAGUUUCAUCCCCUCUGAUUAAUGAUUAAUUACAUGGGCGUUCAAAAAUUUCUUCCAGUGAGCGUGAACUUUUUGAACCUCCCUAGGAACAUCACCAAGAUUAUGAUCAGCUUACCUUCAUCAGUCCACUUGCCAACAAACCCAUAUGAAGUAGCUUUGCAGGUAGCAUCAGGUUUCAACAACUUCUCGCAGCUAUAGCCUAGUGAGUAUCCUACAUUGGCAUAUGCACUGCGAAAGAAAAUUUUGUAUCAUUGCUUGGAAGGAGCAAAUAUAUUUUUUUUAUUCUUAGUAAAAAUGACAAAUAUGUACUUGAUAAUGCCUAAAAUAGAUAGAUUGAUCAAUUGAUCUUUGUUAGCAUGAUUGCUGAUACGUUCCUUGAUUGUACUGAUUACAUAUAAAAUUUAGUUCAGCAUUUUAUGUUGACUCACUUCAUAUUUCAUUGAUUCUUUUACGGGCGGUUAGGAAUAGGGCACAUAGUUAAUUUAAAGGCAACAGUUGAUGGUAGUAACGGUUUCAAAGUUGGGGGUUGAAAAUCAAUCCAAGCCCAUAGAUGAGGGUUUCCUCGAAAUAUUGGUGUGAACUUACCUGAUAAUUUCAAAUGCUAUGCGGAAGAUGAAAUUUAGUGGAUCAGCAGAUAUUGACUUCCUUUCUGUUAUACAUGCUAGAAUUGUGAACAUUGCUAAGCAAGACUUGGAAAGGAUAUAAUUCAUCCAUAUUGCCUGAUCAUUUGAAUUUCUCUCUCUUUCUGUCAAAGGCUGGUUAUAAAAAUUGAUAGGGCAAACUGCAUCAUCAGAAGGAUGGUACCUGCAAUUAAGCUAAUGGUAUGUUAUCAUCGAAGUUUACACAGGUAGCACACUGAUAGAGGUCUUUUUUGAGUUAACCAGAAACAUUAAAACUUCCUUGUUGAGUCAUAAUUGUAGCUUCAUGUGAACUUGGUGGUGGUUUUCUGAUUUUUAUACGAGUGCCUAUGAAUUGAUUAUCUUGAUUGUGGAGCAUGUUCUUCUCCUGCUUCUUGUGACCUCUGUUAUAGUACAGGAUUUUGGGGUGGUUUUGAUUUUGGUCUAUAUAUGUAUUUUUUUCUUUUCAAGUGUACAAUUUGUUGGCUUAGCUUUACUAAACAAGCAUUUACAAUUUCCCACCUGGAUGGUGUUUAUACUUCCAUAUUAUUACCUAGAACUUCAUUAAAAUUGAAACCCUCGCAAGAGCAUAAGGUUUGCCUUCUGCAAGUGAAUAGUUUUUCUUUCUUUCAUCAAGAGAGCUGAACAACUUUAACCAAGAAAUAUAUGUUAUUUGAAGCUCAGCUGUUUAUGUUGCUUCCAUUCAGAAACUAUGUGCAUAAGUUAUUGUCUGCAUUUUAGUGAUGGUGAUUGUGCCAUAUUUAUGUUAAAGUUCUGAAAGCCUGAUAAAUGCUUCAAAAUAGUAAAUGUCAUGAAAUGUUUAGAGGAGACACUUACAUGACAAGUGCAAAUAGAAGUAAUAUUGGAGGAGAAAGGGUUGAUAUGUCAACAAUAGCUUCACCAGCAUGCCUUGUAUUUGCGCUCUGGAACAGUGAGCACACCAGCUUCUGUAACCAGUUCAGUCCAUCAAAGGCACUUGUGUUCCACUCAAAAAAGGAAAGAAACAUCACUUGCAAUAGAAUUAGCCCCCCAACAGUGAAGACCGUGUCGACAGAAUUCUUCUGUGGUUGCAAAUACCUGUAGCCAGUAUCCUUUGGAUGCUGAAGCAUGUAGGCAUAUUCUUGUCUUCUGCUAACCUUCCCCAAGGCCCAUAUGCUUAACCUCAAUAGUGGUGAUAACAUAGUGUUGCCUGCUAGAACCUGUGGGAUAACCAGAAGUAGAAGACUGGUAUUCUUUCUGAAUAUUGCCAUGUUAUCAUUUACCGGGGUGAAGCCACAGUUUGCAAAUGAGGACACUGCUGGGAAGAUGGAAAACGUCCAUAUUUUGAUAUCUUUACUCUUCAGGGGAAGUCUUGUAUAUGAGUCAAUCUGAACAAAAAUAAUAGUGACUAAGAAGCUGCAAAAAACAGCUGCUAUGAAGUAGCCUGUCACUAUAUGAGCCAAAAUAUUGCGGCACUUUUGUUUCAUGGUUUUGCUUUCCUGUACCCAGUUAGGUGAUGUGGUUGCUUCUGAUUGGCAGUCUUCUGAAUUAUUUUGAGUGCUGUUGUUUACAGCAUCAAAGGAUUCAAUGUCCCUGCUUGUUGAAGAUAAUCUUUUUGGGAGGAUUUCAUUUGUGUUGAUCCCAGCAUUGCUGAAGUGCAGCGCCAGCAUUGAAAUGAACACUUCUCCUCCCAGUAGCGUCAGAAGUAUUAACACCCAGAGCUGCUGGUCAGAAAAGUCUUCCAUCUCUACUGUUGCCAUCCUUGAGACUGUCACUGUGGACACAGAAGUGAACAUCAAAUCCAGGGUCCUUGGAGUUGGCUUGUGUCGUGGCUUGUGGAUCUUCAGAUCAAGGAAACCAACAAAGGAUAAUGUCAUGAAGUACAAAAGUUGAACUAUUAAUGGCUUGCUUUGGAACAUGAAAUACCAGAAACAGCGUCUGAAGAAACACAUUGCACAUUUGGAGAUGGAACAAAGCCUCACGGAGAUAAACACAUGGAGGUGCUUAACUUUCCCUGUAAUUUUCCUAACCACUUCGAAAUUGGACUUUGGGAGCUUCAUGGUAAUGGAAGAUGCUGUGACGUAACUAGAAUUGAAGUAAAUGGAUGCAGCAUUGGAAGUUUGUGGGCAUAGAGUUCAGUAUGCUGUAGUUGCAACUGGAAGGUGUUUCUUCGGUUUGAAGAAUCCUAUCUUUGCCACUACUGCUCACGGGAACCAAGUUCUGAAUCUUAAUAUGUAGGAUAGUGUAAGGCAGAUGUGCUCAUUUUGCAUAAUCAUGAUGCUGAUGGUGUGUACAGGGCCCAACCCAGGCAUGAUUGGUGUAUGCACAAGCAUGUGCAUAGAGUAUUAUAAUUCCCAACUACUAUAUGUUCCUGAGUGAAUAGAUUGUCAGCAAUUAGCAUUUUUUGAAUCUGAGAAUAUCUUCAAUUUAGAUUAGCUCUUGGUCUUCACAUGCAAACCUAUUCUGCCUCAAUAAUUCGUUAUUUUUGAAUCUAUUAUUAUCAUAUGGUAUUGUAAAAAAACAAUUUUGUUGUUCACUCGUACUGCUUACCUGAAUCAGUAAGUUACAGGUAAAAGUAUACAGAUAGUUUUGGAUUUUUCUGGCUUAGUUUCACCAGUGUAUCAUGAUGAUAAAAUUUACUCACAGUAACCAUUAUUUUGAAUUUACUACUGCAUAUUGCUGUUUAUAGUGCCUGUUGAUGAUUCCAGUAAUCAAUGUUAUGGCUAAUUGUGAUUUCCUUUGCGUUCACUUAAUUGAGCAUUUAUGUUUUUAUAGCAGAUUACAAUUUCCUAUCUUUCAAUACUUAUGUCAAUACUUGGUGAGCUUGUUCAAGUAUUGCAGUAGAAGGUUCCUGCAAAUGUACAACUGGCAUUGCAUCUAACUAAGUUUCCAGGCUUUGCCUCCUUCCAUGCUGAACUUCUUGAGCCUCCCAAAGAACAUUACAAAAAUGAAUAUGAGUUUGCCAGAGUCACUCCACCUCCCAACAAAGCCGGUCCAUCUAUCUGUGCAGAGAUGGUCCGGAUUGAUCUGUCUACUGCAACUGUAGCCCAUUGAGAACCCCACAUUUCCAUAUGCACUGCAAACGUGGACAGAUCCGUCAGGUUACACGAAGAUAUGACUAUUUUUGUUGUGUAUUAUUGUCAAGCAUGUGCGGAUGUGCCACUAUUCAGAAGAUUCAGAAAUAUUAUGACAAAUUCUAAAUUUGCCUGACAGGUGUUAUUUUGCAUUUUGCUGUUUUUCAUCAAAUAAAUUGUUAAUUUACUUGGUCUGCAUUUUUUCAGAUACAAAACCAGUUAGUCUGACUUGCCUGACGACUUCGACAAUAAUGCUUAGCACGUUGAAAUUGAGUGGGUCUUCUUUGAGCUUUCUCCUCUCGGUGAUGCAGAUAGCAAUGACAAAGAUGGUCAGGUAGGAGAGUUGUGACAAAACUGUACUCUUGAGCAAUCUGAUUCCCUGGUUCUCUGCAGUAUUAUCCUUAGCAUUGGAAUUCUCUUCAAACGGAAACCACGUCGUGUAUGGAGGUAGAUACCUAGAAGCGAGAUGAAGCAUAAUAUGAGACAACAAACUAUACCGAAUCCAAACAGACAUAUCAGUUUAUUUGCAGCAUCUUUUCCAGUUGAAGUCUAAGUACUUGAUUGCUUAUUUAGUGCAUUGAAAAUGCAGGUAUGUCCACUCAACUGCAUAUACAUAUGAUCAGAAAUCCACCCUUGCGUGGAUGUUCAAAAGUGAAUGAUAGUUCAGGGAAGGAGUUGCAGCUCUGCUUGCCUAUAACACGACAAGAAGAUGAAAACAAUGGUUCAACUGACUGGAAGCUUUGAUUCACAGCAUGGCCUUGACAAAACAACAUGGGAACAAAUACUGGCCGGUGAAGAAAUUCACUUGCACGCGCUCGCCAUGUCGGCGGGAGAUGGCACAAUUUAGGAGUUGCUUUAGCCAUGCAGGUUAUUUUUAAAGGCUGCACAAGUUGACUACUAUCACCGCUAUUUUGCAUGCAUCAAAUGGGGAAAGAUGGCUCGUUCUAGACCUGGCUUAAACUGUCAGCGUGUGUUAUGGAAUUAUCGCAUGUGAAAGUUUGAGCCAUAUUCACCUUGAAAGAUCCAAGGUUGGAACAAAUUCCUGCAACGACGCGUCUCCCAUUUUCGCAUAAGCGAAAUGAGAAGGUAAUAGUCAUCAUCGUUCACGGAUGGCAAGUCAUCAUCGUUCACGGAUGGCAAGCUUCUGAACGGAGACUUGGAACAGGAAUGCUCUUACUUUUUAGCAAUUUGAUUAUGAUGACCUUGCAGGUUGAAGUGGAAUGGUGCCUUGUGGUUUCUGUGAAUCUAGAGGGAGCUGUUGCCCUCUUCUUUAUUUGUCCGUCAAACAUCUGGGAGACUGGGAGGAAGGGUCAAGGCACGGUCAACUCUCACCGUGAUCGUACUGUGAAUGAGCACGAGUGAUGGUGCUUUGACGACUGAAACCAAGAAAAUUCUCUCCAUGAUAUUCUUCUACGUUCUAACUUCUACCUACCUAAGAAACUUGUUACUACUAUCUUCUUGUGUUUAUAGCAAAAGGAAUGAAAGGAUCUAUUCGGAACAUAGAAAUUUUAUGUUGUGGGAUUUUUAUACUAGUAAACAGUUCGGACUGAUUUUCACAAACUGAAGAGGCCCUCAACGAUUGACGGGGGUGACGAUAUAUUUGUAAUGAAAGUAAUUUAUGAAUAAAAAUUUUAUAUAUGUAUUCUAAGGAUCUAAAAUUCAAGAUUAGAAAAUAAAGUUACAAAAUGACGAG
rnacentral:lncRNA from 1 species